CUCGUCCUCGGGCAUGGCAUCUUCCUCGCCGCCGCGCCGCGACUGGGCCGCCACCGAGGAUAGAGAUCGGAUCCGUCGCAGCGUCCUCCGAUGACGUCGCUUCCUUCCUCCGCGGUCCGCCGGCCUGGCUCCCGGCUCCCGACUCCUCCCCGACGUUGCCGAAUUUUGCACACGAGGAAAACCCGCCCAAGAGAUGGGCUCUCUUCUCCUGAGGAUGAUUGAAGCACGUGAGCCCCGCUGAAAUGCAGCGGCAUGAAUCAUGACAACUGGACGUCUCUUUCAGCAGCACUUGAGCCUCGAUAGGAACAAUUUUAUCGUCCAUUGCUCACUGUCAGCCGAAGCUUGAAACCGAAAUACGGCCGGAUUGUGGAAGCGAACUAUAAACGGAGCAUCAAAACCCCUCGUUAUGAACGCCCUUAAUUUAUGGGGUAAUAUAAUGCACUUUUCCUU